AGAGUUUGAUCCUGGCUCAGGAUGAACGCUGGCGGCGUGCUUAACACAUGCAAGUCGAACGAUCCUUCGGGAUAGUGGCGGACGGGUGAGUAACGCGUGGGAAUCUGCCCUCAGGAAGGGGAUAACGGCUGGAAACGGCCGCUAAUACCCCAUAUGCCGAGAGGUGAAAUGAAUUUCGCCUGAGGAUGAGCCCGCGUCUGAUUAGCUAGUUGGUGGGGUAAAGGCCUACCAAGGCAACGAUCAGUAGCUGGUCUGAGAGGAUGAUCAGCCACACUGGGACUGAGACACGGCCCAGACUCCUACGGGAGGCAGCAGUGGGGAAUUUUCCGCAAUGGGCGAAAGCCUGACGGAGCAACGCCGCGUGAGGGAUGAAGGCCUCUGGGCUGUAAACCUCUUUUCUCAAGGAAGAAGACCUGACGGUACUUGAGGAAUAAGCCACGGCUAAUUCCGUGCCAGCAGCCGCGGUAAUACGGGAGUGGCAAGCGUUAUCCGGAAUUAUUGGGCGUAAAGCGUCCGCAGGCGGCCUUGUAAGUCUGUUGUUAAAGCGUGGAGCUCAACUCCAUUUAAGCAAUGGAAACUACAAGGCUGGAGUGUGGUAGGGGCAGAGGGAAUUCCCGGUGUAGCGGUGAAAUGCGUAGAUAUCGGGAAGAACACCAGUGGCGAAGGCGCUCUGCUGGGCCAUAACUGACGCUCAUGGACGAAAGCCAGGGGAGCGAAAGGGAUUAGAUACCCCUGUAGUCCUGGCCGUAAACGAUGAACACUAGGUGUCGGGGGAAUCGACCCCCUCGGUGUCGUAGCCAACGCGUUAAGUGUUCCGCCUGGGGAGUACGCACGCAAGUGUGAAACUCAAAGGAAUUGACGGGGGCCCGCACAAGCGGUGGAGUAUGUGGUUUAAUUCGAUGCAACGCGAAGAACCUUACCAGGGUUUGACAUCCUGCGAACCCCUGAGAAAUCGGGGGGUGCCUUCGGGAGCGCAGAGACAGGUGGUGCAUGGCUGUCGUCAGCUCGUGUCGUGAGAUGUUGGGUUAAGUCCCGCAACGAGCGCAACCCACGUCUUUAGUUGCCAGCAUUCAGUUGGGCACUCUAGAGAGACCGCCGGUGAUAAACCGGAGGAAGGUGUGGAUGACGUCAAGUCAUCAUGCCCCUUACAUCCUGGGCUACACACGUACUACAAUGCUACGGACAAAGGGCAGCAAGCUCGCGAGAGUUAGCAAAUCCCAUAAACCGUGGCUCAGUUCAGAUCGUAGGCUGCAACUCGCCUACGUGAAGGAGGAAUCGCUAGUAAUCGCAGGUCAGCAUACUGCGGUGAAUACGUUCCCGGGCCUUGUACACACCGCCCGUCACACCAUGGAAGUUGGCCAUGCCCGAAGUCGUUACUCCAACCCUUGUGGAGGAGGACGCCGAAGGUGGGGCUGAUGACUGGGGUGAAGUCGCAACAAGGUA
rnacentral:rRNA from 1 species